UCCCCCUCCCCGCGCUCCGCAGCUGGGAAUCACGGGACUAGCCUUCGUUUCCUUGGCAACGCAGUACACAAGUGCUAGCCCUAGCAGCUCGCGAUGUGCUUCAGCAGAGCAGACGCUGCGGAUAACUACCCUUUUGGAACAUGUCAACAGAGGAAACUUUUUCCUCACUUCCAUCCCCCGAAUUUGAUUGGGAACAAGUUUGUCCCUCUUAGGGGAUCACCCCACAGAGGGCCUGGGUGUUAUUUUUCAGAUCCCUGGUGCAUACAACCCAGAGAAGAAGCCACCGCCAAAAAUUGCCUGGCCAAUGAAAUUUGGAUCUCCAGACUGGGCUCAGGUUCCAUGUCUACAGAAAAGAACCCUAAAAGCUGAGCUGUCCACAGACAAAGACUUUAGAAAGCAUCGGAACCGUGUGGCCUACCUAAGCCUGUAUUAUAAUUGAGCGGCUGUAACUACCUUCACGUGCUCCUCUUAUACACAGACUCUCCAGGACUGAGGACAGAGCUGCUCUUCUUCUUCUACGUUACUGUGGCCCUCUUGUCUGGCAGCCUGGAGCCCAGGGAGGGACAGGGGCUUAUAGCUGCUGUAUGAGAACAUAAAGACUAGUGCACAGUGCUAUCUCCAUCUACUGACUUGUGGUGUACACGUGCAUGUCUGGGUCUGUGGGUUUCUGUUGGGUGCUGAGUUGGGUGAUUUCAUUUUAGUGAAAUAUUUGUGGGCCCCUGCUCUCUAGUUCUAAUUCCCAGGAGCCAAUUUUAUAUAUUCUACCACUAGCCCUGGUCAUAGGAGGCUGUUAGCCUAUACAUGUCAAGGGUUUGGAUGGGAUUUGGGCUUGCUAGAUACAGAAAACACUUAAGGCAGAUUAAAACAUGUAUUGGAGCUCUCCCAAUUGUGUUGCUCAGUGUGGAGUGGGAAGGUCUUGAUUUGGUUGACUUUCCCAGAUUGACAUAAAACUCAAAAACCAAAAAAUUGCCCCUUUCCUAUGACAUCAUCCAUUUAGUCUGUGAGUCAACAUAUAUACUGAGGUCCUACUAUGUGUUGAGCAGAGCAGUAAGCACUGGGGAUAUGGCAGGAAUCAAAAUAAACUUAUCUACUAAGUCCUUGGGCCUGGCCUGAAGUCAGAGGAGGACUCCCCAGGGCAGCUAGGGGAUUGGGUCUGCCCUCCAAUCUGAAUGACCCCCUAGAACCUUACAAGUCAUUCUGGGGUUAUAAAGAUCAUAACAUUUAUAGCCCCAGACUGACUUGUAAGCAGCUGCAUUUAAAGUACUUACUCAGACACUCAGGCCUGAGAGAUAGACCCCUUUCUUUCCAGCACUAGCUGAAAUAAUCAAGUAUAUAGUUUGUUCAGGAUUGGCACUAAAUGUGAUUUAAUCUUUUAAUAAAAGGGUCCUUUUGUACCCACUUAGGCUUCUUCGUAAUUACCAGAAAGGUGAUAAGCCUGCAUGUGUCUGGACACCAAAGAUUGAGAAGCUGCCAGUGGCUGCAAGAGAGCCUACUGUAACCCUCAUGGCCACCCCCUGAUGAGUGUUACCUGGGGAAAGGGCUAGCAAGAGGUGAAGCCUCCUGGUCAUAUGAUGCUGGGGGUGCCUAAUUCCUUAAAGGCCAAGGUCUUCUGAAAUAAUAAUGGUGAAGGACAGAAAAGUCUUUAUGAGAAAUCACAUAGGAUAUAUUAAGAUAAUGAUAAAGAUACCUCAGCAAGAACAUACCUAAUAUAUACACUUCUUUUAAUCUGAUGACUUAAUGAUUUCUGUUAUCAAGAAGUAUUUAUGACUUGAGAUAAGUCAGGAUUAACUGUUAUCACCUCUCCUGUACACCUCCCUCCUUUUUCUCCUUUGUACCCACAUGUGCAGAUUUUUUCAGAGGUGACAAUUUAGCAUUUAAUGUUUUUUUUUCUGCUUCAAGUUCUUAGGUCCCUUUGGAGGAUAUUGAUGGGGGUGGAGGUGGGGAUAGAACAUCUUUCACACUGUUUGGUACAGAGACGCUCAAAGCUUUUCCCAGGGAAAGGAACUCUCUAAAAUAGUAAUCUGAUUUGAUGAAAGAUAAAAUUUUAAUAUAGCUUCAGUUAACCUUCAGGAUACUUUAAAUGCUACAUUGUAUAUAAAAGUAAUAAAGUACAAAUGAACACGAAGACU
rnacentral:lncRNA from 10 species